CUAAACCUAUGCCCCUUGGCUUCACCUCUUUCUUCUUAUUACUUUUUGUUCUCGACUGUGCUAAAGUGUGGGGAAAUUUUGAUUUUCUUUUCUUCUUCUUAUUUUGUUUUGAACUGUUGAUUGGGGUUUCUGGGGUGUAAUUUGGGGAUGAGGUUAUGCUUAUAAGUAAAAGUUUAUUCAGAUCAAUCUAAUUAUGUCUUGUUUUUUCUAAAGUGUUUGUGGUUUCUUUGUUCUUCGUUUUGGGGUAUGAAUUGUUUUGUUUGAUUGAGAGUGUUGGAUUGUUAGUUGGGUACAUACAAUUUAUGUAGUUGUUAAUAUUUGAAUGUUGUUGCUAUGCUAGUAUCCUAGUUUAGUGCUUAUGAUUAAGUUAAGUGUGAUUGUUAAUUAAGUUUAGCUUAUAUACAUUAUUGUCAUAAUAAUAUUACAUUCAUAACAGAGUCUUUGAGUUUCUAGCAUAGAUAUGUAUGUCAUGAUCUGAAAUGAAUACAUAUAAAAUAGUCCCAAUAAGUAAAAGAAUUUAUCUGAGAUAUUGGGGUUGAUUCUUCAUUUUUCAUUGAACAGCCCUAUAUAAUCAAAACCCAAUUAGGCAAAUAAAAUUGAAAACAAUUCCCACUAGACCUCACUUUUGAAUCCAUGGAAUUGGAAGGCCAUCAAACUCACAGGCCCAAGCGUUUAUGUUCUUAUUAGUUUAAGUAAAUAAUUCUGCACAUUUGCUGAAAAUUUCUUUGAAGUAAUUGUUUUGUUUCAAAUCAAUCAAUGGCUAGUUUUCUUCUUCUCUAGUGAUAAGAACAAUUUGAGAAAAUUAUUAUUAUUUGGGAUAUUUGCAGUGUAAAUAUCAUAUAUUUUCAAUUAUAUGUUAAGUGUUAAUUGGAUUUAUUAACAUUACAUUUUUGGUUCUAAUCAUAUGAUGACACGUGUUAAUAUUAAUGAAUCUGUAAGCAUUUAGCAAAAUGGUAGUAACAUAAGUAACAAAUAUGUAACCUUUGGUAUUUAAUUCAUCGAAAAAAAUGGUAUAAAUAUAAAAAUUGAAAACAUGUGAUAUUUAUACCACAAGUAUUCCUUAUUAUUAUUUUGAUGAAGAAAAGAAUAUUUCAUCAAUCAAAAAGGCUUAUAUUACAACUAACAAGGGAAAAGACCCUCUAACUCAACUCAACAUUUACAAAACUUUUAGAAGCUUGACAACAUGUUUAUCAUCAUGAUUUAACUUCCUCUCAUUUACAAGAUUCACUCUAACUUUUAAAUUUUCUUUAACAAAGUCAUCUAUACAAGAAGGAUUUAAACAUUUCUUUUCAAAUAUGCACAAAUUACGGUUCAUUCAUAUACUAAGAUAACUCCCAAGCCAACUUCCUAUUCUUUGCAUAAUCCUCCAAGAGUAUGAACAUGUAAAAAACAAGUGUGCAUAAUCUUUUAUGUUCAUCUCAAUAAUGGCCAUAAAGCAGACUCAACAUGCACAUGUUUCUUAAUCAAAUUAUCUCAGAGUAAGAAGAUUAGAGGGUUGAAUCGUAGUAACUGUAUGCUUCAAUGACUGUUUAGGUAUUUCUUCUUUUCUUUUGCUGAAUAAUGAGAGAUUGAAUAUUUACAAGAGAAAAGCAUGUUUUAGAAGCAAGAUGAAGAUGGUGAACAUCUUUGUUUGCAUUUUCUGUGUAAUCCCUUCUUACAAAGACUCUCAAUGAUUUCUUUGUGGAAGGGUGAUGAUGAUUACUACCUUUCUUGUUUCAUUAAAGAAGUGAAUUUAAGAUGAGGUCUUCCCAUUCCCAUUCGAUGUCUUUCUUUAAUGGUAUCAUAUUCACAUGUUUGACAAGUAUUCUUAUAUGUUAGCUAUUUUGCUCAACUCAGCACCCAAAAAAAAAAAAAGAUAAUACACCACGUAGCGGAAUUCUUUUCAAAAAUACUGUGUGAGAAAAUUUUAUACUGUGUACUGUGUUAAGAUUUUACCGUUAUUCUACUGUUGUUUUUUAGUUAUUCAUUGUUCUGUUUUGUUUUCUACUGUCUUUUUAUAAAAAUACAGUAUUUUUAAGAAGAUUUUCGUGUGACGGUAUUUUUGUAAAUGUUAACCAAAAUUCUAAUAUUUUUGUAAGUUUCCCCCCAAAAAAAUUCAAGUUUCUUUAGGAUAUGGGUUUGAUUGAGAUUUUCGAUGAUCCAAUAGCUAACUUUAGGAGCUAAUUGUUGGAGGGCGAUUAAAUGUCUCAUAGUUGGUGUUGUGGACAUUGUCCCACAUAGAAUAAAUGGUAGAGAAUUGAGCCAUUUAUAAGAACAUGGGCUACUCCACUCAUUGCCAAUUAGUUUUGAGAUGGAACCCAUGAUUCUCAACAUGGUAUCAGAGCCAUAUCCCUUGCGGGCAAGUGAUCAUAUCCGAUCCGCACCUAUACAGAUAGUGACCAUGUCCACUCUUAUACGGUUCAAGAUAGUGAGCCAUUUAUAAGAACAUGGGCUACUCCACUCAUUGCCAAUUAGUUUUGAGAUGGAACCCAUGAUUCUCAACAGUUGGGCCACUAAUUUGGAAUGGUGCUGAAGAUGGAGAAUUUGGAUAAUACAAAAGUUAAGGUGAAUUCCUUAGCUUCUGCUACUAUUUCACUUAUGAAGAUUCUAGUUUCAGUUGAGAUUCACUAUGAAUUUAAAAAUGUUAUACCAGAAUGGACUUUCAUUUGGGAUUAUUAUUUGCUUUUAUGUCAUUCUUGUCAAUAUAUUUUGAUGAAUGCUAUGUAUCUGUUGAUUUUGUUUUGUGCAGAAUCAUAGACCAAUAUAUGAUCUAUAGUCCUAAAGCAAAAUGGAGAAACAUGACUGAUAAUUUCAUGUUUGAUUUUGUUUAUUAUCAUUUGAUUGUUACUUUUUUUUGUCCAAGGACUUUCCAAUUCUCUAUUUGAGAAACUUGCAUGAAGAAACAGUACAAGAAUCCCAUCAAAAUGCAUGUCAACCCCAACCUCAAUCUUUAUGGCUUGCAUAAUCAUCAUCACAUUAUCUAGAUUUCACCAAAAUAAAAGCCGAAAAUGAUAUGAAUUUAAGCUCAGAAAGGUCAAGUUGAGAUUUUUUUUAAAAAAGUAUCUAUAUUCAUUCAGUUAGAAUCUGCUGAAUUCAACACUUCAAGAUGAGAAAUUGGAAGGAGUUUGAACUCUCACUAAUGUGUGGCCAUUUACGGUUGUAUUAUUCUUGUGUUCACAUCUCAAUUUGACAAUUCUUCGAUACUGAAAUAUCAGAUGAAAUAAAGAAAAUUCUGAGCAAAAAUCAGUAAAUAGUGUAAAAAGUUGCACUUAAGUCAUGAAGGGGGUGUUUGUUAUAAAAGUGAUUUUGUUGGGCUAAAAGUUAAUUCCUUCAUCACUUUAUAGGUGAUCUUCGCUAAAUAUUCAAGUGCAGCUUUGUCAGUACAAACCAAAUUUCUUAUGUAAAGAUCUAGUAAUUUGGGAGAGAAAUUAAGAUGGGAGCUAUGUGAAUUGUCAAACUAGAUUGAUAUUAGCCUCUAAAAUUAUGUGACACCAAACCAACAACAUUCCCACUUACAAAAUUGCAUCAAACAUAAAGGGUAAUUCAAUUUUCCACCCAUCCCAUAACAAACAACCCCUUAUUCUCAACACGCUUAGGGCUUUAGACUUUACAGAAGAAAUGUCAAGUCAACUACUAAAAGAAAAAGAAAACUCCAAAACUCACGAACAUGCUUGCUCACUACUAGUGGGGGACCUAUUUAUUGUCUUUUCUUUAGUAACGUGUGAACUCAGUUACUUGUUGCAGCUUGCAAUGAGUAUCACUAACACCCUUAUGUUCAAAUCCCAUUGAUAGAUAUAUAAAUAUAUAUAAAUAUUGUAGAUAUACCCUUUUCCUUAUUCUUGUAUAUAAUUCUGUUCCAACUUCCAAAGUCCCAUUAUCAAUUGCUAGUUAUAGUACAAAAGCAUUAUCAAAAAAGUACACAAAAUGGAGAGAAUAUUUACAUUGGUGGUGUUGGUUUAUCUGGUAAUCAUACCAAUUUCAAUUACAUCAUCAAUGAGAAUUGAUCCUAAAACAACAACAGCAGCUCCAUCUUCUCCAAUACUAGUUUCUUCAUCUUCAUCUAAGGCAUUCUCAAUAGGUAAAAAAGGUAGAAAUAUUAUUAAGAAACUCAAGUGUACAGACUUUUUGAAAGAGGAAAUGGUCACCAAAGUUCUUGACCAUUUAAAAGCUUCUGAUGAGGUAAAGAAGAAAUUGAAGAUAAGUGCCAAAUUUGGAGUUUGUGUAGCCAAUAACUUCUGUGAUUGUUUGGUUGUACCAUAUAAACCUGUAGUUUAUGCUUGUUUGGCUGAACUUGGAUUUAAGUGCAUGAAAAAUGCUCUUUCAAACUCAGCUCCAUAAUCAAACAUUACUACUACUAAUACCACUUUCAACUAUCAAACUCGGAUGAUGGCCUAAUGGGAGAUGUCUGCUACAGCAAAUGCAUGAAGAGAAUUUAGCUUUUUUCUUUUUCCUUUCUAAUACUGCUCAUGAAUUACUUUUGUGUAAUGGGAAAAAAUAUAAUUUUAUCUGAAAAAAAAAGUAUAUAGAAAGUAGAAAUCAUAAAAAAAUUGUAACUUUAUGUGGGACAAUUGCCAAAUUCAUGUUGGUUUUUGGUAUCACUUUCCCUAAAAAUAUUUAGAAUAGUGGACUUUUUCUUUGUUACA